UAAGUUUCUCAAAUUUCUCAA
rnacentral:piRNA from 1 species